rnacentral:tRNA from 1 species
AGUAAUAUAAGCUAAAUAAGCUAUUGGGUUCAUACCUCAAAAAUACUACAUUGUUAUUACUA